AUUGAACGCUGGCGGCAUGCCUUACACAUGCAAGUCGAACGGCAGCGCGGACUUCGGUCUGGCGGCGAGUGGCGAACGGGUGAGUAAUACAUCGGAACGUACCCUGUUGUGGGGGAUAACUGGUCGAAAGAUUAGCUAAUACCGCAUACGACCUGAGGGUGAAAGUGGGGGACCGCAAGGCCUCACGCAGCAGGAGCGGCCGAUGUCUGAUUAGCUAGUUGGUGGGGUAAAGGCCCACCAAGGCGACGAUCAGUAGCUGGUCUGAGAGGACGAUCAGCCACACUGGGACUGAGACACGGCCCAGACUCCUACGGGAGGCAGCAGUGGGGAAUUUUGGACAAUGGGGGCAACCCUGAUCCAGCAAUGCCGCGUGUGUGAAGAAGGCCUUCGGGUUGUAAAGCACUUUUGUCCGGAAAGAAAUCGCGCUGGUUAAUACCUGGCGUGGAUGACGGUACCGGAAGAAUAAGCACCGGCUAACUACGUGCCAGCAGCCGCAGUAA
rnacentral:rRNA from 1 species